UGCUGCCCUGAUACUUUUCGAAAGUUCAACUUUCAGUGAAAGCGUUGGUAAAUCGGAAAAUCGGCAAGGAAAAUCGGCUAUUCAAAAGGAAAAUGGAUGAUAUUUAGGGAUGACCCCCAAAUAUGAAAACUCCCAUAAUGUCAUUAACAGGUGUCUAUCCUCCAGCAGUUGAGCCAUAAUCGCAGUGGAAUUUCAGCCGUGAACGAGCGAAAAAAAAAAA